CCUACGGGAGGCAGCAGUGGGGGAUAUUGCACAAUGGAGGAAACUCUGAUGCAGCGACGCCGCGUGAGGGAAGACGGUCUUCGGAUUGUAAACCUCUGUCUUUGGGGAAGAAAAUGACGGUACCCAAAGAGGAAUCUCUGGCUAACUACGUGCCAGCAGCCGCGGUAAUACGUAGGGAGCGAGCGUGGUCGGGUAUUACUGGGUGUAAAGGGAGCGUGGGUGGUUGAGAAAGUUGAAUGUUAAACCUACCGGCUUAACUGGUAGCUGCGUUCAAAACUUCUUGUCUUGAGUGAAGUAGAGGCAGGCGGAAUUCCUGGUGUAGCAGUGAAAUGCGUAGAUAUUAGGAGGAACACCAGUGGCGAAGGCGGCCUGCUGG
rnacentral:rRNA from 1 species